rnacentral:misc_RNA from 1 species
CGGAAACGGUACGCGGUUGCAGUUCACAGAAAGGCCACAUAGUAUUUCUGUAGACUUUAUACGAUUAUAAAGUUCGAUUAAUAGGAAUAAUUCGCGUUACACUGUGUGUUAUUGCGUGUUAUAAGAUCUGAUGUGAUUUGCUUAAAUAAUACGUUAAAGCUUGCCUAGCAUUGAAGAGUCUUAUAGCUAUAAUAACUGAGAGAGGUCUGUGUUAAAUUCAAAGCAUUAGUAUGGGUUCGAACAAACGUCAUAAAGCUGAGAAAUCUCGCGAUACCAAAAAGAAACGUCAUCGCAGUCGUUCUAGGAGUUAUACACCUGACCGCGAGAAAUCUGAGAAGCACAGGCAUCACAAGAAACAUAGAAGGAAAGAGCGCAAGGAUUAUGACAGUGAUGUUGAAAUUGUCAAUGCUCCACCGCCACCAAAAAUAUCAAAGUCAUCACACCCAUCGACGCCCCCACCACCCGAAAUCUCUAAACAGCGUAGCCCAUCUCCUGUGAAAGGUGGAGCAUCGCAAGUUUCACUAUCUAUCGAGGAAACCAACAAGCUUCGUGCAAAGUUGGGACUGAAGCCAUUAGAGGUUGAUAAUAAUACACCGAAAGAGGAUCCUAACAAAAUCAAAGAUGAUUUAGGAGAGUUUUAUCAUAAACCAGCGCUAAAUAACAAUGAAAAGGUUAGAGCGCAGAAACUGAGAGACAAGAUAAGUACUCAGAAAGAAAAGAGACAGAUUGAGGCAAAUUUGUCAAAGCUGAAAUCUUUGGGUGAAUGUGACUCCGAAGAUGAUACUCAUGCAUGGAUCACUAAAUCUAGACAUUUGGAGGAAGAAAAGAAAAAAGCAGAGAAGAGAGCAAAGAUGUUAGAUCAGUUGGAUGAAGAAUUCGGAAUUGGUAAUUUGGUCAAAGAAGAAAUACAUAGUGCCCGUAACACAGCAUAUACAGAGAAGGAUUUGAAGGGUCUCAAAGUUGAACAUAAUAUUGAAACACUUGAGGAAGGCAAAACGGUGAUAUUAACACUGAAAGAUCAGGAAGUAUUAAAUGAAAACGAUGAUUUACUUGUAAAUGUCAAUAUGAUCGAUAACGAACGUUACAAGCGUAGCGUUUUAAACAAGACUAAGAAAUCUACAUACGAUCCGUAUGCUGAUGAAAAUUUCGAUGAAUAUGGAUUUUCUAAAAGUACAGUUUUAGAAAAAUACGAUGAGGAAAUCGAUGGCGAGAAAAAAGAUAACUUUGUAUUGGGCUCUAAUAAUGUGGAAGUAAAGCGGCGCCAAGUAGAAACAGUGAAACAACGUUUAGCAAAUAAAAGAUUGGAAAGUCUGCAAAUGGCAGAACCGAAACUGGCAAGUGAAUAUUAUAAUGAGGAGGAACUUGCAAAGUUCAAGAAGCCGAAAAAGAAGAUUCGAAAAAUUAGAAAGAAACUCAAGGCCGAUGAUUUAGUUCCUGUCGACAAUGAUUAUCUUAGAGAUCUUGGAAGUAGAAGAAAGAAAAAACCGGAAGAUUCAAAGGAUAACGAUGCUAUAUUGGACGUUGAUGAUCUAGAAGCUCCUACAGAAGAUCUGACUGGAGUAAAGCUUGAAGAGGAUGAUAAAGAAUUGGAAUUACAAUUAGCCUUGAAGAAAGCUCAACGUUUGAAGGAAGGACAUCCAGCCGGCAUGCAGAAAACUAUUGAGACACUAAAGCAAGAAAUCCUUAGUGCAGAGGAAAAUCAGGCUGGGAAUAUUGUUCUCAAUUCGACUGCUGAGUUUUGUAGAACGUUAGGUGAUAUUCCUACGUAUGGACUUGCUGGAAACAGAGAAGAAAAUGGACAAGAACUCAUGGAUUUCGAACUGGAUGGUGUUAAAGACGAGCCAUCUAUGAAUGAGGAUGAGGACGAUGGGCGUGGUGCUUGGAACACAGUGCAUUUAGAUGAGAAUAUCUCAGAACCAGUUAUAAUGGAGGCAGCGAUAUUAGAUGCUGAGCCGUCGCUCGGGCAAGGAGUAGGCGGAGCGUUACAGUUAGCUAUGAGCAAAGGCUACUUACAGAAAGAGGAUAGCAAUCGGCCCUCAGCAUCACGAUUUGCACAUUUGCAAGCUCAGAAUUAUUCGAUAGAAGACAAAACCUAUGGUUAACAGUUUUAAAUAGAGCCCGGAAAUCGGUGCUCGGAACGGGUGAUCCGCUACCGCUACAAGAGUUUACCGCUUAAUCGGAGGCGAACGAAGGCCGAGAAGAGAGUAGGAUUUGUUAAGAGAUGAUGACAAAUUCGGCAGAAGAGAUCGUUUCAACGGACCGACAUCUGACUUCAAAGAAAAGGAUGGUUUCAAACCGAACGUCAAGCUUGAGUAUAUCGAUGAUGACGGCCACGUGUUGAGCGCCAAGGAAG